rnacentral:piRNA from 1 species
GCAUGAUGGAUGGGACCUACGGAUCUGGC